UACGUAGGGGGCAAGCGUUGUCCGGAUUUAUUGGGCGUAAAGAGCUCGUAGGCGGUUUGUCGCGUCUGCUGUGAAAACGCGAGGCUUAACCUCGCGCCUGCAGUGGGUACGGGCAGACUAGAGUGCGGUAGGGGAGAUUGGAAUUCCUGGUGUAGCGGUGGAAUGCGCAGAUAUCAGGAGGAACACCGAUGGCGAAGGCAGAUCUCUGGGCCGUAACUGACGCUGAGGAGCGAAAGCGUGGGGAGCGAACAGG
rnacentral:rRNA from 1 species